rnacentral:lncRNA from 1 species
CACGGGCAAGGUGCCCCGGGAUUGACGCCGCCUGUGGCCAGAGCCGGAGUAACGGGACUCCCAGCUGCGCGUCGCAGUCCCGACGCGAGAAGGGCUGGAGUCGGCGUCCAGCCUAGAGCCCCCGGUGGGAGCCAGGCCGGGACGCGUGCACCAUGCCCUACCUGCUCAUCAGCACCCAGAUCCGCAUGGUGAGUACCGGCCGCCUGGCGACUUGGAGCCGGGACCAGGCCCUAGGGGGCUGCGACUGCACCUUCAUGCCUCCCUCCUGGGCUGCACCCACCGGGGACUGGACCGGGAACCCGCCCAGACACGCCCCCUUGGCCGGGGAGAGGGAGUGGAGAAGCGGGCUCAGCUCGGCUUCCGGGACUCAGCGAGCUCUGGCCGGCCUGAAGCCUUUAUUGCCGCGAAGGGGCCCGGGUGGGCCCCACUAUGGUGGGCGAUGAACAGUCGGAUCCAGAGCUGAUGCAGCAUCUGGGGGCUUCAAAGAGAAGAGCCUUGGGAAACAACUUUUAUGAAUACUACGUCGAUGACCCUCCCCGCAUAGUCCUGGACAAGCUGGAACGCAGGGGCUUCCGUGUGCUGAGCAUGACGGGGGUGGGCCAGACGCUGGUGUGGUGUCUGCACAAGGAGUGACCUUCUCAUGCUGAUUUGCAGACGGGGCACCCCUGUGGAGGGGCUGCUGUGGGCCCUGACCUCCAAGCUCCUGCCUCACCGUCUGCCUUGCUCCUCUCUUCCCAAAUCAUCACCGCCAUGGGCCCAGCCCCAAAGGGCAGUGAAUGGCCUUCUCUGAAACCCUGCGUCAAGCAGUGGGAGAGGGCAGUGCCCGGUGCCCUGGUGCUCCCAGCUGCCCUCCUGCUUCGGGCCUGGGCCGAGGGCCUUGUGUAGGCCAUGUUCCUCGGGCAGCUGCCCCGGGCCGGAGCUGGGCACUCCAGCGGCCCUGGCGCGUGGCUCCUGCAUAGCUAGCCCAAGCCAAUAAAGGGCUGUGAUGAG